AAGAAAGAAGCAUAAGUGGUUUGAUGCAGUUGGCUUGAAACCAGCCAGUGAGGGUUCGAUUCCUUCCUUUCUUG
rnacentral:tRNA from 1 species